rnacentral:sRNA from 1 species
AGUCCUAUAAAUACGGCCGUGCUGUCUA